rnacentral:rRNA from 1 species
GACGAACGCUGGCGGCGUGCUUAACACAUGCAAGUCGAACGGAAAGGCCCUGCUUUUGUGGGGUGCUCGAGUGGCGAACGGGUGAGUAACACGUGAGUAACCUGCCCUUGACUUUGGGAUAACUUCAGGAAACUGGGGCUAAUACCGGAUAGGAUCUUCUGCUGCAUGGUGGGGGUUGGAAAGUUUCGGCGGUUGGGGAUGGACUCGCGGCUUAUCAGCUUGUUGGUGGGGUAGUGGCUUACCAAGGCUUUGACGGGUAGCCGGCCUGAGAGGGUGACCGGCCAAAUUGGGACUGAGAUACGGCCCAGACUCCUACGGGAGGCAGCAGUGGGGAAUAUUGCACAAUGGGCGGAAGCCUGAUGCAGCAACGCCGCGUGCGGGAUGAUGGCCUUCGGGUUGUAAACCGCUUUCGCCUGUGACGAAGCGUGAGUGACGGUAAUGGGUAAAGAAGCACCGGCUAACUACGUG